GGAGGGGUGGCAGAGCGGUUGAAUGCGGCGGUCUCGAAAACCGUUUUGGGGGUUAAGCCUCCAACGAGGGUUCGAAUCCCUCCCCCUCCG
rnacentral:tRNA from 1 species